GACGAACGCUGGCGGCGUGCUUAACACAUGCAAGUCGAACGGAAAGGCCCUGCUUUUGUGGGGUGCUCUAGUUGCGACCGGGUGAGUAACCCGUGAGUACCCUGUCCUUGCCUUUGGGAUAACUUCAUGAAACUUGGGCUCAUACCGGCUAGGAGCUCCCGCUUCAUGGUGGGGGUUGGAAAGUUUCGGCGGUUGGGGAUGGACUCGCGGCUUAUCAGCUUGUUGGGGGGGUAGUGUCUUACCAUGGCUUGGACGGGUAGCAGAGCUGGGAGGGGGACAGGACAAAUUGGAACGGAGAUAAGGCACAGACUACUACGGGAGGCAGCAGUGGGGAAUAGUGCACAAUAGGAGGAAGCCUGAUGCAGCAACGCCGCGUGGGGGAUGACGGCCUUCGGGUUGUAAACCGCUUUCGCCUGUGACGAAGCGUGAGUGACGGUAAUGGGUAAAGAAGCACCGGCUAACUACGUG
rnacentral:rRNA from 1 species